rnacentral:rRNA from 1 species
AUUGAACGCUGGCGGCAUGCCUUACACAUGCAAGUCGAACGGUAACAGGUCUUCGGAUGCUGACGAGUGGCGAACGGGUGAGUAAUACAUCGGAACGUGCCUAGUAGUGGGGGAUAACUACUCGAAAGAGUGGCUAAUACCGCAUGAGAUCUACGGAUGAAAGCAGGGGAUCGCAAGACCUUGUGCUACUAGAGCGGCCGAUGGCAGAUCAGGUAGUUAGUGGGAUAAAAGCUUACCAAGCCGACGGUCUGUAGCUGGUCUGAGAGGACGAUCAGCCACACGGGGACGGAGACACGGCCCAGACUCCUACAGGAGGCAGCAGUGGGGAAUUUUGGACAAUGGGCGCAAGCCUGAUCCAGCAAUGCCGCGUGCAGGAUGAAGGCCUUCGGGUUGUAAACUGCUUUUGUACGGAACGAAAAGCCCUGGGUUAAUACCCUGGGGUCAUGACGGUACCGUAAGAAUAAGCACCGGCUAACUACGUGCCAGCCGCCGCCGUAAGAC